CCCUUAGAUGUUCUGGGCCGCACGCGUGCUACACUGAGUGGAUCAGCGGGUCAGGUUGCGCGAAAGUGUUUCCUAAUCUUUAAAUCCGCUCGUGAUGGGGAUUGACGGUUGCAAUUUUCCGUCAUGAACGAGGAAUACCUUGUAAGCGCGGGUCAUCAUCCCGCGCUGAAUACGUCCCUGCCCUUUGUACACACCGCCCGUCGCUCCUACCGAUUGAGUGGUCCGGUGAGGCUUUGGGAUCUGGGCGGAAAGAGCGUUUCGCUGUUUCUGCCCGGAAAACUCAGUCGAACCUUAUCAUUUAGAGGAAGGAGAAGUCGGAACA
rnacentral:rRNA from 1 species